GACGAACGCUGGCGGCGUGCUUAACACAUGCAAGUCGAACGGAAAGGCCCUGCUUUUGUGGGGUGCUCGAGUGGCGAACGGGUGAGUAACACGUGAGUAACCUGCCCUUGACUUUGGGAUAACUUCAGGAAACUGGGGCUAAUACCGGAUAGGAGCUCCUGCUGCAUGGUGGGGGUUGGAAAGUUUCGGCGGUUGGGGAUGGACUCGCGGCUUAUCAGCUUGUUGGUGGGGUAGUGGCUUACCAAGGCUUUGACGGGUAGCCGGCCUGAGAGGGUGACCGGCCACAUUGGGACUGAGAUACGGCCCAGACUCCUGCGGGAGGCAGCAGUGGGGAAUAUAGCACAAUGGGCGGAAGCCUGAUGCAGCAACGCCGCGUGCGGGAUGACGGCCUUCGGGUUGUAAACCGCUUUCGCCUGUGACGAAGCGUGAGUGACGGUAAUGGGUAAAGAAGCACCGGCUAACUACGUG
rnacentral:rRNA from 1 species